rnacentral:lncRNA from 1 species
AUAAUGUGGCUUCCCUUUUUCACGGGCACCCGGUGUGCGGUGUCUAUAUCUGUAUUGGCGAUUGGACAACCAAUCUUCUUACCAAUAGUUUGGACGACUGCGAGGCAGUCUUCACCUUUUGACUCGGGGAUGCCUUCCAGCUCAACAUUAUUGAGUCGGCAAUAUUGUUCGAGAUCACACAUUUGUUUACUAAGUUUCUUAUUUUCAUCCCUCAAGACCAUUUUUUCCUUGGUCAGUGCCUCAUUGUGAUUUUUAACAGAUUCACAUAUGUCAUUGAACAUCCCUAAGCUAGUUUUCAGUUCGGCAACCUCCUCACGAAGAGCCUGGAAUUCCUUUGCUAGUUCAGCCCAAGUUGGCAUGCUCAAGUUUAGCAAUGCAAAAAGAAAUCACAAUACAAAAUAUAUAGGCAGCAGUGGAAGCGGGCAAAAAACACAAUAUAGAAUGGUGUAUAAAAGUGUACAAACCUGGAAAGAGCAACACAAGGAUCAGUACGUGCGCACAGCCG